GUCUUCGUGGAGUAUUGAAUCUCGCUCCCAUCCUGUGUGCCGCUCGUGAGAGCUUAAUUUGGGGAGAGUUGGUGGUUCGAAUCCACCCGAAGACA